rnacentral:rRNA from 1 species
GUGGGGAAUAUUGGACAAUGGGCGAAAGCCUGAUCCAGCCAUGCCGCGUGUGUGAAGAAGGUCUUCGGAUUGUAAAGCACUUUAAGUUGGGAGGAAGGGUAGUAACCUAAUACGUUGCUACUUUGACGUUACCGACAGAAUAAGCACCGGCUAACUUCGUGCCAGCAGCCGCGGUAAUACGAAGGGUGCAAGCGUUAAUCGGAAUUACUGGGCGUAAAGCGCGCGUAGGUGGUUCAGUAAGUUGGAAGUGAAAUCCCCGGGCUCAACAUGGGAACUGCUUUCAAAACUGCUGAGCUAGAGUACGGUAGAGGGUGGUGGAAUUUCCUGUGUAGCGGUGAAAUGCGUAGAUAUAGGAAGGAACACCAGUGGCGAAGGCGACCACCUGGACUGAUACUGACACUGAGGUGCGAAAGCGUGGGGAGCAAACAGGAUUAGAAACCCCUGUAGUCC